GCCCCUGUAGCUCAAUUGGCAGAGCAACUGACUCUUAAUCAGUAGGUUGAAGGUUCGAGUCCUUCCGGGGGCAC
rnacentral:tRNA from 1 species